UAGGAGGUAAGGGUGGGUGUGCCAUCAUGUACAUCGUUUUUGACAUGAGAAUGUGCAAGCGCCGUUUAAGUGCAUCAAGAACGAAUGAAUACGAGUGCUGCAAUUUCAAGUGAACUCAAAGCAAUAUCAGCUCGUUAAUCACCAAUCGCAUCUGCAACACCUGUUUCUACUAAAUAAGUGAAAACGUGUGCUCUUCUCAGCAACAACUAUCUACUUGACAUCCGCCUUCUACUAUGGUCCUCCUCCUGUGCGGUACACGGGAUCGUACUUCAUUUGGUUAGAAUUGCAUCCAUUUUGGGUUAGCCGGCCGAUCGGUUAAGCCCGAUCAUGAGGCCGUUGUACAUCAUGCUACACAGCGUUCCAACAAUCCAGCUUCACUCCUGAUCUACAAGGUCGUCAGCCUAAAAACCCGAACCCACAUUUCAUCAAGGACAACAGCAACUCUACCUCUCCGCUGAUGUACAAAAACGAGUGGCAAUCCAAAUCAAGGCUUUUAUAUCUACUUUACCAUCCCUGUCAUAUCCGCUAUGCGCAACGACCGCUUCUGAGCAUCAUUGUCACUGACGACCGUCAAGUUUGCAUACAAGAUUGUUUUGUCAAUAGUUGAUUUGCAAUUUUCAUGAUCUCCUCUCAUUUUCAUUCGAAGUAGUCAUCAUAGAUCAGUUGAAUAUCGAACCUAUUUCAUUAUCACCAAAUCGCCACAACCACUACUACUACUGCAACACCUCAACAAA